GACGAACGCUGGCGGCGUGCUUAACACAUGCAAGUCGAACGGAAAGGCCCUGCUUUUGUGGGGUGCUCGAGUGGCGAACGGGUGAGUAACACGUGAGUAACCUGCCCUUGACUUUGGGAUAACUUCAGGAAACUGGGGCUAAUACCGGAUAGGAGCUCCUGCUGCAUGGUGGGGGUUGGAAAGUUUCGGCGGUUGGGGAUGGACUCGCGGCUUAUCAGCUUGUUGGUGGGGUAGUGGCUUACCAAGGCUUUGACGGGUAGCCGGCCUGAGAGGGUGACCGGCCACAAUGGGACUGAGGAACGGCCCAGACUCCUACGGGAGGCAGCAGGGGGGAAUAUUGCACAAUGGGCGGAAGCCUGAUGCAGCAACGCCGCGUGCGGGAUGACGGCCUUCGGGUUGUAAACCGCUUUCGCCUGUGACGAAGCGUGAGUGACGGUAAUGGGUAAAGAAGCACCGGCUAACUACGUG
rnacentral:rRNA from 1 species